rnacentral:rRNA from 1 species
CCCUUAGAUGUUCUGGGCCGCACGCGCGCUACACUGACGAAUUCAACGAGCUUAUAACCUUGGCCGAAAGGUCUAGGUAAUCUCCAAAAUUCGUCGUGAUGGGGAUAGAUUAUUGCAAUUAUUAAUCUUCAACGAGGAAUUCCUAGUAAGCGCGAGUCAUCAGCUCGCGUUGAUUACGUCCCUGCCCUUUGUACACACCGCCCGUCGCUCCUACCGAUUGAAUGGUCCGGUGAAAUGUUCGGACCGCGACAAGGCGGACGGUUCGCUGUCAGCUUUGCUGCGGGAAGUUCAUUAAACCUUAUCAUUUAGAGGAAGGAGAAGUCGUAACA